rnacentral:rRNA from 1 species
GUUGACCUCGGAUCAGGUAGGAAUACCCGCUGAACUUAAGCAUAUCAAUAAGCGGAGGAAAAGAAACCAACAGGGAUUGCCCCAGUAACGGCGAGUGAAGCGGCAACAGCUCAAAUUUGAAAUCUGGCCCCAGGCCCGAGUUGUAAUUUGCAGAGGAUGCUUUUGGCGCGGUGCCUUCCGAGUUCCCUGGAACGGGACGCCAUAGAGGGUGAGAGCCCCGUACGGUUGGACACCAAGCCUUUGUAAAGCUCCUUCGACGAGUCGAGUAGUUUGGGAAUGCUGCUCUAAAUGGGAGGUACACUUCUUCUAAAGCUAAAUAUUGGCCAGAGACCGAUAGCGCACAAGUAGAGUGAUCGAAAGAUGAAAAGCACUUUGAAAAGAGGGUUAAACAGCACGUGAAAUUGUUAAAAGGGAAGCGCUUGUGACCAGACUUGCGUCCGGUGAAUCACCCAGCUCUCGCGGCUGGGGCACUUCGCCGGCACAGGCCAGCAUCAGCUUGCCGUCGGGGACAAAAGCUUCAGGAACGUGGCUCCUCUCGGGGAGUGCUAUAGCCUGUUGCAUAAUACCCUUCGGCGGGCUGAGGUACGCGCUCCGCAAGGAUGCUGGCGUAAUGGUCAUCAGCGAC